rnacentral:rRNA from 1 species
UAGGGAAUCUUCCGCAAUGGGCGAAAGCUUGACGGAGCAACGCCGCGUGAGUGAUGAAGGUCUUCGGAUCGUAAAACUCUGUUAUUAGGGAAGAACAAAUGUGUAAGUAACUAUGCACGUCUUGACGGUACCUAAUCAGAAAGCCACGGCUAACUACGUGCCAUCAGCCGCGGUAAUACGUAGGUGGCAAGCGUUAUCCGGAAUUAUUGGGCGUAAAGCGCGCAUAGGCGGUUUUUUAAGUCUGAUGUGAAAGCCCACGGCUCAACCGUGGAGGGUCAUUGGAAACUGGAAAACUUGAGUGCAGAAGAGGAAAGUGGAAUUCCAUGUGUAGCGGUGAAAUGCGCAGAGAUAUGGAGGAACACCAGUGGCGAAGGCGACUUUCUGGUCUGUAACUGACGCUGAUGUGCGAAAGCGUGGGGAUCAAACAGG